UACAGAGGUCUCAAGCGUUUGUUCGGAUUCAUUGGGCGUAAAGGGUGCGUAGGCGGCGCGGUAAGUCGGGUGUGAAAUCUCGGAGCUUAACUCCGAAACUGCAUUCGAUACUGCCGUGCUUGAGGACUGGAGAGGAGACUGGAAUUUACGGUGUAGCGGUGAAAUGCGUAGAUAUCGUAAGGAAGACCAGUGGCGAAGGCGGGUCUCGUGGACAGUU
rnacentral:rRNA from 1 species